rnacentral:snoRNA from 1 species
UGAUGGCUUGACACAGUUAUCCCUAUCUGACGAGACAUGGAGAAAUUGCAUCCUUGCUGACA